rnacentral:rRNA from 1 species
GACGAACGCUGGCGGCGUGCCUAAUACAUGCAAGUCGAACGAAGCUGUUUUAACUGGUGCUUGCACCGACUUAAACAACUGAGUGGCGAACGGGUGAGUAACACGUGGGUAACCUGCCCCAAAGCGGGGGAUAACAUUUGGAAACAGAUGCUAAUACCGCAUAACCACAGAAACCACAUGGUUUCUGUGUCAAAGAUGGUUUCGGCUAUCACUUUGGGAUGGACCCGCGGCGUAUUAGCUAGUUGGUAAGGUAAUGGCUUACCAAGGCAAUGAUACGGAGGCGAACUGGGAGGUUGAACGGCCACAUUGGGACUGAGACACGGCCCAAACUCCUACGGGAGGCAGCAGUAGGGAAUCUUCCACAAUGGACGAAAGUCUGAUGGAGCAACGCCGCGUGAGUGAAGAAGGUUUUCGGAUCGUAAAACUCUGUUGUCAGAGAAGAACGUGUGCGAGAGUAACUGCUCGUGCAGUGACGGUAUCUGGCCAGAAAGCCACGGCUAACUACGUGCCAGCCGCCGCCGUAACAC